rnacentral:rRNA from 1 species
AGUGAACGCUGGCGGCGUGCCUAAUACAUGCAAGUCGAACGGAGUGGCGCACGGGUGUGUAAUGUAUAGCUAAUCCGCCCUACACUAGAGGACAACAGUUGGAAACGGCUGCUAAUACUCUAUAGUGUAGGUUGAGGCUAUAUUGUAUCAGCUAGUUGGUGAGGUAAUGGCUCACCAAGGCUAGGACGCAUAACUGGUCUGAGAGGAUGAUCAGUCACACUGGAACUGAGACACGGUCCAGACUCCUACGGGAGGGAGCAGUAGGGAAUAAUGCUAAAUGGGGGAAACCCUGAAGCAGCAACGCCGCGUGGAGGAUGACACUUUUCGAAGCGGAAACUCCUUUUGUUAGGGAAGCGGUACCUAACGAAUAAGCACCGGCUAACUCCGUGCCAGCCGCCGCGGUAAUUC